AUCUGUCACCUCGUAAAUAACACAAACAACCUCCUCUUCUCUUGCUUCGCUACGAAAUCUCUGAGUCACAGCGACAAUGGCGGAAUCACCGUCGCAGAGUGGUGCGCAGCUUAUCGCUCAUCAAGCUGAAUCGGAUCUGGCGUCUCUCGUAUUCGAGAUGUCACAGCAAGUUCAGGUGGGGAUGGAGAAUAUGCUCAAGCUGGUCAAUGAGAUCGAUGGGAACUCUGUUGGAAUCAAGGAAGAGAUUGAGAAGUCAAAGGAGUUUGCAAUGGAGAAGAAGAGGGUUCUCGAGGAAGAGAAAGAACAGUUUCAGAAAGCUGCUUACACUAUUCUAGACAUGCUCAGCAACCGAGACUAAAGACGCGCAGCAGCAGGGGGAAUGCAUCCAAUCUCGUAGAGUAAAAACUUUUCUCAGGUUUGAUGGCAAUGACAUCCAGGCUACAUAUUAUACAAGGAAGUCAAUGAGAUCUCAAAGAGCGUUAAAGCAAAGAAGAAUUCAUGCUCAGAUAUAUCUUGUUUCUCUCUGGAAAACUGAAGCAAUCAAUCUAAAUGACUUUCAAAGCGUCUCUGUAAACUUCUCCAUUUUUUGUUGAAGUUGUGGGUUUUUUUCAUUCGUUAAUGAUAUGCUGUAAUGGCAGAGAGAGUUAUCAUCAAGCAAAGCUUUGUCUUUAGCUGCUAUUGGAGAGAUGAUUGAGACGGACUCAUUGUUUGAGAAAUAUCACAAAGUACCUUUCUCCACUGAUCGUUUGCAUUUCUUAUUAUGCAGACGGGGAUGACAAAAUGAUCAGCGUUGCUGUGGAGGAAACAUAGGCAACGGAUCUGAGAUGAUGAGGAAGGAACGGAGCAACAAAGUGCCUCAUUGGUGGGUUCAAACGACAGUUCUGAAGAUAACAAGAUGAAGUCAACAGUGGAUUUGCAAAAACGGAGGAAGAAGUACCUGAAAGCGACAAUAAUGAGGUAAAAGCAAGGAUGACUCAGAGGGAAAGAUCGAGUUCAGUGCCAAAAGAGUGACGAGUAACUCAGCUCUCUGUUAAAAGUUAAAACCAAUGUUUUGAGAUAUGGUAAAAGCUUUUGAAGGAGACGACAUCGUUUCGUCUAUUUUUGGAUUCUAAUUGAUAGUCCAAGCUUUUCAUUAGUUUAGAGGGUCUAGGACUUGAGAGCAGAAUGACCAUUUAAGUUUCUUUGAUUCAGUUGUGUUCAUUCAAGAUGUUCUUUCAAUAUCUUAUUUUCUACU